UACAGAGGGUGCUAGCGUUGUUCGGAAUCAUUGGGCGUAAAGCGCGUGUAGGCGGUCCGAUAAGUCCGCUGUAAAAGUCCAGGGCUCAACCCUGGAAAGCCGGUGGAUACUGUCGGGCUAGAGUCCGGAAGAGGCGAGUGGAAUUCCUGGUGUAGCGGUGAAAUGCGCAGAUAUCAGGAGGAACACCGAUGGCGAAGGCAGUUCUCUGGGCCGUAACUGACGCUGAGGAGCGAAAGCGUGGGGAGCGAACAGG
rnacentral:rRNA from 1 species